UACGGAGGGGGCUAGCGUUGUUCGGAAUUACUGGGCGUAAAGCGCGCGUAGGCGGACUGGAAAGUUGGGGGUGAACUCCCGGGGCUCAACCCCGGAACUGCCUUCAAAACUACCAGUCUGGAGUCCGAGAGAGGUGAGUGGAAUUCCGAGUGUAGAGGUGAAAUUCGUAGAUAUUCGGAGGAACACCAGUGGCGAAGGCGGCUCACUGGCUCGGUACUGACGCUGAGGUGCGAAAGCGUGGGGAGCAAACAGG
rnacentral:rRNA from 1 species